rnacentral:rRNA from 1 species
AGUGAACGCUGGCGGUAGGCCUAACACAUGCAAGUCGAACGGCAGCACAGUAAGAGCUUGCUCUUACGGGUGGCGAGUGGCGGACGGGUGAGGAAUACAGCGGAAUCUACUUUUUCGUGGGGGAUAACGUAGGGAAACUUACGCUAAUACCGCAUACGACCUACGGGUGAAAGCAGGGGAGCUUCGGACCUUGCGCGAUUGAAUGAGCCGAUGCCGGAUUGGCUAGUUGGCGGGGUAAAGGCCCACCCAGGGGAGGAUCCGUAGCUGGUCUGAGAGGAUGUCCGGCCCCACUGGACCUGGACCACGGCCCAGACUCCUACGGGAGGCACCAUAGGGGAAUUGUGGACAAGGGGGGCAAGCCUUGCCCAACCAUCCGGGGUGGGGUACAACGGCCUCCGGUUGGUAAAGCCCGUUUGUUGGGAAAAAAGAGCAGCAGGUUAAUACCCCGCUGUUGUGACGGUACCCAAAAAAAAAGCACCGGCUAACUUCGUG